GCUUGGCGGGCCCCGCACGCGAAGCAGCCGGCCGGCCCUGCCGGCCCCGGGCAAUGAGGGGCUUAGCACCCGGGCCAGCGGCUGCGGAGGGUGUACUGGGUCCCCCAGCAGUGCCGGCCCACCGGCGCUGCGCUCUAUUUCUCGCCGGGCCUUAGCUGCCUUCCCGCGGGGCAGGGCUCGGGACCUGCAGACCGCCAUGCCUGAGCCUCCCACCCCCUCCGUGGGCUCCUGUGCGGCCCGAGCCUCCCCGAUGAGCGCCGCCCCCUGCUCCACGGAGCCCAGUCCCAUCGACCACCCAAGGGCUGCGGAGUGCGGGCGCACGGCGCGGGACUGGCAGGCAGCUCCACCUGCAGCCCCGGUGAGGUAUCUACUGGGUGAAGCCAGCUGGGCUCCUGAAUUUGAUGGGGACAUGGAGAAGCUUGGUGUCUAACUCAGGCAUUGUAAAUGCACCAAUCAGCGCCCUGUCAAAACAGACCACUCGGCUCUACCAAUCAGCAGGAUGUGGUGGGGCCAGAUAAGAGAAUAACAGCAGGCUGCCCGAGCAGCAGUGACAACCCGCUCCGGUCCCCUUCCGCAGUGUGGAAGCUUUGUUCUUUUGCUCUUUGCAGUAAAUCUUGCCACUGCUCACUCUUUGGGUCCACACUGCCUUUAUGAGCUGUAACACCGCGAAGGUCUGCAGCUUCACUCCUGAAGCCAGCGAGACCACGAGCCCACCGGGAGGAAGGAACAACUCCAGACGCGCCACCUUAAGAGCUAUAACACUCACCGCGAAGGUCUGCAGCUUCACUCCUGAGCCAGCGAGACCACGAACCCACCAGAAGGAAGAAACUCCGAACACAUCUGAACAUCAGAAGGAACAAACUCCGGACACGCCGCCUUUAAGAACUGUAACACUCACCGCGAGGGUCAGCGGCUUCUAUUCUUUAAGUCAGUAAGACCAAGAACCCACCAAGUCCGGACACAAUAUUUUCUAUUAUCUAUGUUUGAUUCUUGUCAUAAACAUCUGAACUGUUAAGGUAAUUCACUAAUGGAUCACAAUCUGCACUUCGAAAAUUACUGGACACUUCUUAUUCACACGUAAUACAUUCUGCCUUAACACAGUGCACUCUAAGAGAAUUAAUGAAAUGCAGAAAAGACUAUAGGUUUGUAAAAUUCACUCAGCAAAGUCAUUCAUUGUGUUGCUUAGGUACAUAAUAUUUCAAAAACUAAGCUUCACUGAGCAUCUGUAUUGACCACUUUGAAGUGAUAGUUUUAUAGCUGGAUCUUCCUACAUCAUGUACUAUCUGAACACAUCACACUAGUUUUGAUCGUUUGGUCUCAUUAACUCCAAUUAUCCAAAUUGGUAUGUAGGGAAAUAUACAAUACGGUGUUGACAGUUCAUAAGUAUUUGACUAUUAAUGUGUUGUCUAUAAAAUACUCAACCUACUCAGGAAACACAAUUCUUCAAAGAAAUAAUAAAAGAAUGAUCCAGCAUGAUCUAGAUUGUGUUACAUUCAAAUAAAGAAAAAUAAUGCAAAACAAUGCAACCUAACCUACCAUUAAAUUUCUAAGUAAUGACCAAAAUCCUUAGCUUUAUACAUGCAUUAUUUAAAAUUAUGAAACCCAGGAGACUUAUUUACAAUUCAUCCUUAAAUAGUGGAAUAAAAAUCAAUAUAACUGUUUUGUCAAUGCAUUUGACUUCCUGAGCAUAUUUUCCAACAGAAGCAUGCUUAUGCAAAUCCAGAAAUGAAAUGUUAAAAAUUCAGAAAUCAAAAUAUUUCUUUAAAUAAACUUGUUGAGAAAUUUUUUACUCAGUAAACAUUUUUAACAUCCACUGAGUUUUCUUAAUUCCACUAUUUUUCUGAAUUGUCAUUUCUUCAUAUAAAAAUAUUUGAAUAAGUAAAACUUUAUGUUAGGAGUAUAUGUAAGUAUGUGUGGCUACCAUUUCAACUAAAACUUAGGGUGGGAACCUAUCUGAGGAUCUUUUUUAAAGCUGGAUACCUUAUAGAACUUGUAAAAUAAAAAUCUUUUUUUCUUUUACAAUCUUUUACAAUUUUUCUUUUACAAUCUUUUAAAAAGGGAUCUAUAUCACUUAAAUCCUCAAAAAAAGGUUAUAUCAUGAGGGAAUAGAAGAAAUACUUUCUGUUGACAUAAACAGUAAUUGAUAAGGUUUUCUUGAAUACUUUUAUAGAAAUGCUGAUGUAUUACACUUAAGAUUACUAGUUAGCUCUCAUUUCCUUUCAACUUUUGCCUCUGGAUAAGCUCAACUAUUCCCAGGAAGAAACAGUGAUCAAGUACAUUUGUCAUGCGAGCAGCUAUAAUAAGGUAAUUCAUCAUAAUCUGUCAGAGUUUUAUUCUAGAAAGACUGCUACAUUUUUUUUCUUACUUAAAAAUCUGCUGUCACUCCUGUUGAAAAUUUGGUAGACAUUUUGGACAUGUUUAAAAGCCCUUCCAAACUGAUAGUUGCAGAUAAUUAAGUUAUUGGCUAUCAAAGAUUCUUUUUCUCUUUUUCUUUUUCUUUUUUUUUAACAAUAUAUAUGACACUAUGAACCCUUCUAGCUAGUUUAAUCUGACCUGUUCACAGAGCAUGAUCCCUCAUUCCCUUUCCUUUUUCCUCCUUAAGAGUAGCCAACGACCAAAGUAAUUCACAAUGACAAAUGAAGCCUUUCUCAAGAGUCUAAUUGAGCAAUUUUGUUUUCCUUUGCAAGACCUGAAAUCUACAGCAUUCUGAACUCCAUUCACUGAAGUGGCAAGAGAUAGUGGUCAGAAGGAAACUAGGUGGAUUAAGGGGUUUCUAGAAAACAAGUAAAUAAACUCUACCUAGGUGUGACAUCUUACAUCUCAGUAAUAUUUCAAUUCAUCUACUCAAUUACUUACUCCGUGUAUCCUUUACUUUAAGCCAUUUUUAAUAAAGUUUCAUUGUGAUGUGUACUUUAUUGAAUCCUAAAGUCUCAGUCACUACUCUCUCAUUCUUUUGUAAUACUUCCUGCAUUUUUUCAGCGUUUAAAUUCAUGCUUUCUUAGAAGAAGAAUUAUAUUAGUCUUUUCUCUAGCCAAUUGUGUGAUAUCCUUUUGUACUACCUUAGAGAUAGACUGUGUUUGGCUUAAGGACAAGAAAGGAGAUAUAAUAAAUGUUUUAAUUGGCUUUUCAAAAAAUUUACAUUAUUCUCAUACAAUGUACAUUUUAUACAUUAACUGAUUAUCAAACCCAAGAGCAUGUUCUCAUUGGUAGCAACCACUGGCAAAGUAUUAAACGAAGAUAUACAUAUAUGUGCAUAUUCAAAUAUAUAUGUGCGUAUAUAUACAUGUAUGUAAUGUUUUAAUGACUGCUAAAUACAAAAGAAUAUGUAAAUACAUAUUGAAGUAUAAAUUAUGAUAUAAAUAUAUUGUUAUUCUCUUCUAGUAAUUUGAAUUUAAG
rnacentral:lncRNA from 1 species